AUCAGUCUCCAGAAGGAGGUAAUGGCUCCUUACUCUCAAGAGGGGACAUCACUGGUAUUGUGAUUGGAGGACUAGCUGGAGUGGCUCUGACUGCAGUCCUCAUCUGUUUCCUGUUCUUCAGAAAGAUGAGAAGAGUCAGAGAACAUCAUCUUACCAAGCACAGAUCCUCAGCACCCAACCGCAGUCAAGUCUGCUUUGACAGUUCAAUUAAUGAGACUGAGGAAGUAUCCUAUGCAUCCCUGAAUUUCAGUGACCAGAAACUACUUGCCCUGAGUCAGGCCCCAACAUCUACAGACAUCGUUUACUCCAAAAUCAAAGUGAAAUGAUCUGGUCCUUCUUGUUCUCUGCACUAAAGAUGUAUUGACAGGUAUAACUUGGAGAUAUGGUGGAUUCAGUUCUAGACCAUUGAAAAUAAAACAAAUAUUGCAAUAAAGCAAGUCAAAUUCUUUGGUUUCUUAGUUCAUAUGAGUUAUAUUUAUGCUCUACUGUAGUCCAGUAGUGCAAUAAUACUAUGUUUAAAAACAACGUACAUAUCUUUUUAAAUAGAUUUUUUGUACCAAUUACAUGUAAAAGCAAUUUUCCACAUAAGUUUUCUGAAGUUAUAUGUUCCAAAUUGUCUCCCUCCCUCCCUUCCCUCUCCCCUUCUGCAGCUGGCAAGCAAUUCAAUCUUGGGUAUACAUAUAUUUCCAUAUCGUUUAUUUUUAUAAGAGAAUACUCAUAUAAAACCAAAAGGUCACAAUAAAAACCCAAAGAAACUUAAGAGAAAAAUCACAUGCUUUGAUUCAUAUUCCAACUCCAACAGUUCUUUCUCUGGAAGUGGAUAGCAUUUUUUUGUCAUAAGUUCCUCAGAAUUGUCUUGGAUCAUUGUAUUGCUGAGAAGCUGUUUAUCACACCUGAUCAUUCCACAAUAUUGCUGUUAUUGUGUACAGUGUUCUUCUGGUUCUGCUUAUUUCACUCUGCAUCAGUUCACAUAGGUCUUCCCAGCUCUUUCUGAAAUCAUCCUGUUUAUCAUUCCUUAUAGCACAACAGAGUUCCAUCACAAUCACAUACCACAAUUUGUUCAGUCUUCCCCAAAUUGAUGGGAGUCCCUUCAAUGUUCAAUUCUUUGCCAUCACAAAAAGAGCUGCUAUUAAUAUUUUUGUAUAAGUAGGUCCUUCUGCCUUUAUUUUUAAUCUCUUUGUCAUAUAGAACUAGUAGUGAUCAAAGGGUCAAAGGGUAUACAUUGUUUUAUAGUCCUUUGGACAUUGGUCCAAAUCGCCCUCCAGAAUGGUUGAAUCACUUUGGGUGGAGUAAGAAAUUAGUGUGUUAUUAAUAGUUAUUAAUAUCUAAAAGUUGGUGUCUUCCCACUCCCCAUAUCGUAGGAAACCUUUAUGGCUUUCAAUGAGUCUGUCUGGGAAUUGCUCUAGGCGAUAGUUCCAGGCUGAUGGUCUUAGAUUCUGAAGUCCCUGUGAUCAAAUCUUAAGUGCCAAUCUUGAGUACCCUUUUGUCUUAGAAUAGUGAUGGGUAACCUUUUGAGCUUGGUGUGUCAAAAUUCCCCCCAAAACCGAGCAUAGCUCGGGCGGUCUGACACUUCAAGAAAAAAAGCAUAAUUUUGUGAUAUUUAUAGUUUAAA